rnacentral:tRNA from 1 species
UGUGGCUCAGUGGUAGUGCACUCGCCUGGCCAGCGUGAGGCCCUGGGUUCGAUCCUCAGCA